GAGGAAGAACGCAGCGAAAUGCGAUACGUAAUGUGAAUUGCAGAAUUCAGUGAAUCAUCGAAUCUUUGAACGCAUAUUGCGCUCUCUGGUAUUCCGGAGAGCAUGCUUGUUUGAGUAUCAGUAAACACCUCAACUUCCAUAUCUUUUUUGAAAUGGGAGUUGGACUUGAGUGAUCCCAACGCUUUUCCUCACCGAAAAGUGGCGGGUUACUUGAAAUGCAGGUGCAGCUGGACUUUUCUCUGAGCUAUAAGCAUAUCUAUUUAGUCUGCCUAAAAAACAGAUUAUUACCUUUGCUGCAGCUAACAUAAAGGAGAUUAGUUCUUGUGCUGACUGAUGCAGGAUUCACAAAGACGGCUUCGGCCGACUUUGUAAACUCGAUCUCAAAUCAAGUAAGACUACCCGCUGAACUUAAGCAUAUCAAUAAGCGGAGGA
rnacentral:misc_RNA from 1 species